rnacentral:rRNA from 1 species
UACGGAGGGUGCAAGCGUUAAUCGGAAUUACUGGGCGUAAAGCGCACGCAGGUGGCUGAGUCAGUCGAUUGUGAAAGCCCUGGGCUUAACCUGGGAAUUGCAGUCGAUACUACUCAGCUAGAGUAUGGGAGAGGGCAGUGGAAUUCCCGGUGUAGCGGUGAAAUGCGUAGAUAUCAGGAGGAACACCUGCGGUGUAGACGGCUUUCUGGACCAUUACUGACACUGAGACACGAAAGCGUGGGUAGCAAACAGG